UACGUAGGGUGCGAGCGUUAAUCGGAAUUACUGGGCGUAAAGCGUGCGCAGGCGGCGCGUUAAGACAGGUGUGAAAGCCCCGAGCUUAACUUGGGAAUUGCGCUUGUGACUGGCGUGCUGGAGUGUGGCAGAGGGAGGUGGAAUUCCACGUGUAGCAGUGAAAUGCGUAGAGAGUGUGGAGGAACACCGAUGGCGAAGGCAGCCUCCUGGGCCAGCACUGACGCUCAGUGCAC
rnacentral:rRNA from 1 species